UACGAAGGGGGCUAGCGUUGUUCGGAAUUACUGGGCGUAAAGCGCGCGCAGGCGGGUCAUCAAGUCAGGGGUGAAAGCCCAGAGCUCAACUCCGGAAAUGCCUUCAAAACUGCUAAGCUAGAGAUCGGAAGAGGAGAGUGGAAUACCCAGUGUAGAGGUGGAAUUCGUAGAUAUUGGGUAGAACACCAGUGGCGAAGGCGGCUCUCUGGUCCGAUACUGACGCUGAGGUGCGAAAGCGUGGGGAGCAAACAGG
rnacentral:rRNA from 1 species